rnacentral:rRNA from 1 species
CCCCUAGAUGUUCUGGGCCGCACGCGCGCUACACUGAACAGUUCAACAAGUCUUAACCUUGGCCGAUAGGUCUGGGUAAUCUUUGAACGCUGUUCGUGAUUGGGAUAGACCUUUGCAAUUAUGGGUCUUCAACGAGGAAUUCCUAGUAAACGCAAGUCAUCAGCUUGCAUUGCUUACGUCCCUGCCCUUUGUACACACCGCCCGUCGCACCUACCGAUUGAAUGGUCCGGUGAAAUCUCGGGACGGCGGCUUGGUCGCUUGCGUCCGACUGCUGAAACUUGAUUAAACCAUAUCAUUUAGAGGAAGGUGAAGUCGUAACA